CCCACUCAAAUUUGUGCCAAUAGUCCUCAUCCGAGAGGACUCUUGUAUUUUGGCGUUAACUUGAAAUGAGGUGCCCCUUUCUGGACUGCCUCCAGAUGGCACGACCUAACCCAAUUGCUCACCAAAUUGGGUUAGCAAAUUAGAAAGGUAUGAGAUCAAAUAGAUCUUCCAAGGAGCUAGGGUUUUCACACGUGCUAACAUGCUUAUCGGAGACCCUGAUUGGAUCCAAAAUUUAAAUCAACCUUAUCAAAAGGGUCCUUGGCCAAUUUUCUUAUGUGUUUGACCCAUUGGGUUCCACAUCUGGCCAGCAGUAGGUUUGGAUGCAAGUUGACCUAAUUUGAUUAGACUCCAAUCUAACCAAUUUAGGUCCAAUCGAGCUAAUUCGAGUUCAACAAUUAAAAUCCUUUCUAAUUGGCGAUUGAAUUAAACUCUUUAAUUCGAUUAAACCUACAAGUCAAGAUUGACGUCUAGCAACGUAUUAUGACUACCCAGA
rnacentral:lncRNA from 1 species